rnacentral:rRNA from 1 species
CCUACGGGUGGCAGCAGUGAGGAAUAUUGGUCAAUGGGCGCGAGCCUGAACCAGCCAAGUCGCGUGAGGGAAGACGGUCCUAUGGAUUGUAAACCUCUUUUGUCGGGGAGCAAAAGACGCCACGCGUGGCGUUCCGAGAGUACCCGAAGAAAAAGCAUCGGCUAACUCCGUGCCAGCAGCCGCGGUAAUAGGGAGGAUGCGAGCGUUAUCCGGCUUUAUUGGGUUUAAAGGGUGCGCAGGCGGAAGAUCAAGUCAGCGGUAAAAUUGAGAGGCUCAACCUCUUCGAGCCGUUGAAACUGGUUGUCUUGAGUGAGUGAGAAGUAUGCGGAAUGCGUGGUGUAGCGGUGAAAUGCAUAGAUAGCACGCAGAACUCCGAUUGCGAAGGCAGCAUACCGGCGCUCAACUGACGCUCAUGCACGAAAGUGUGGGUAUCGAACAGGAUUAGAUACCCCUGUAGUC